UACGGAAGGUGCAAGCGUUAAUCGGAAUUACUGGGCGUAAAGCGCGCGUAGGCGGCUUCGUGAGUCGGGUGUGAAAGCCCCGGGCUCAACCUGGGAACGGCACUCGAUACUGCGGAGCUCGAGUACGAGAGAGGGGGGUGGAAUUCCAGGUGUAGCGGUGAAAUGACGUAGAGAUGUGAGGAAUGACCGAUGCGAAGGCGAGCCC
rnacentral:rRNA from 1 species